GACGAACGCUGGCGGCGUGCCUAAUACAUGCAAGUAGAACGCUGAAGGAGGAGCUUGCUUCUCCGGAUGAGUUGCGAACGGGUGAGUAACGCGUAGGUAACCUGCCUGGUAGCGGGGGAUAACUAUUGGAAACGAUAGCUAAUACCGCAUAAGAGUAGAUGUUGCAUGACAUUUGCUUAAAAGGUGCAAUUGCAUCACUACCAGAUGGACCUGCGUUGUAUUAGCUAGUUGGUGGGGUAACGGCUCACCAAGGCGACGAUACAUAGCCGACCUGAGAGGGUGAUCGGCCACACUGGGACUGAGACACGGCCCAGACUCCUACGGGAGGCAGCAGUAGGGAAUCUUCGGCAAUGGACGGAAGUCUGACCGAGCAACGCCGCGUGAGUGAAGAAGGUUUUCGGAUCGUAAAGCUCUGUUGUAAGAGAAGAACGAGUGUGAGAGUGGAAAGUUCACACUGUGACGGUAUCUUACCAGAAAGGGACGGCUAACUACGUGCCAGCAGCCGCGGUAAUACGUAGGUCCCGAGCGUUGUCCGGAUUUAUUGGGCGUAAAGCGAGCGCAGGCGGUUAGAUAAGUCUGAAUUUAAAGGCUGUGGCUUAACCAUAGUACGCUUUGGAAACUGUUUUAACUUGAGUGCAAGAGGGGAGAGUGGAAUUUCCAUGUGUAGCGGUGAAAUGCGUAAAUAUAUGGAGGAACACUGGUGGGGAAAGCGGAUCUCUGGCUUGUAACUGAGCUGA
rnacentral:rRNA from 1 species